rnacentral:rRNA from 1 species
UGGGGAAUAUUGCACAAUGGGCGGAGGCCUGAUGCAGCAACGCCGCGUGCGGGAUGACGGCCUUCGGGUUGUAAACCGCUUUCGCCUGUGACGAAGCGUGAGUGACGGUAAUGGGUAAAGAAGCACCGGCUAACUACGUGCCAGCAGCCGCGGUGAUACGUAGGGUGCGAGCGUUGUCCGGAUUUAUUGGGCGUAAAGGGCUCGUAGGUGGUUGAUCGCGUCGGAAGUGUAAUCUUGGGGCUUAACCCUGAGCGUGCUUUCGAUACGGGUUGACUUGAGGAAGGUAGGGGAGAAUGGAAUUCCUGGUGGAGCGGUGGAAUGCGCAGAUAUCAGGAGGAACACCAGUGGCGAAGGCGGUUCUCUGGGCCUUUCCUGACGCUGAGGAGCGAAAGCGUGGGGAGCGAACAGGCUUAGAUACCCUGGUAGUCCACGCUGUAAACGGUGGGUACUAGGUGUGGGGUCCAUUCCACGGGUUCCGUGCCGUAGCUAACGCUUUAAGUACCCCGCCUGGGGAGUACGGCCGCAAGGCUA